ACGAACGCUGGCGGCGUGCCUAAUACCUGCAAGUUGCGCGAUGAAGAUUGGUGCUUGCACCAAUUUGAAGAGCAGCGAACGGGUGAGUAACGCGUGGGGAAUCUGCCUUUGAGCGGGGGACAACAUUUGGAAACGAAUGCUAAUACCGCAUAAUAACUUUAAACAUAAGUUUUAAGUUUGAAAGAUGCAAUUGCAUCACUCAAAGAUGAUCCCGCGUUGUAUUAGCUAGUUGGUGAGGUAAAGGCUCACCAAGGCGAUGAUACAUAGCCGACCUGAGAGGGUGAUCGGCCACAUUGGGACUGAGACACGGCCCAAACUCCUACGGGAGGCAGCAGUAGGGAAUCUUCGGCAAUGGACGAAAGUCUGACCGAGCAACGCCGCGUGAGUGAAGAAGGUUUUCGGAUCGUAAAACUCUGUUGGUAGAGAAGAACGUUGGUGAGAGUGGAAAGCUCAUCAAGUGACGGUAACUACCCAGAAAGGGACGGCUAACUACGUG
rnacentral:rRNA from 1 species